GCCAGGCAAACCAGACUCCACCCCAGUGUCUUUGGAGCGAGGCAGCCAUGGGCAAAACCAAGCCUGCUGUAAAGCCCCAAUGUAGAGUUCAGGCAAAAUGUGGUGAAAAGGGAGGAGGCAGUUUUGGCGAAAUCUUCCCGGGAGACCACGCAGCAAUACCAGUGACAGAAAUGAACAGCUAUGUGCCAGGGACGGCACUGUGCGCAUGUAACACAUCUCAACCAAUCUGCUCAACGACCAGCAGGCAUCGUACGACCCCGUGUUGCAGACGAAGAAACUGAGGCGCAAGGAGGUUCCUCGGCUUGUAUGCCUGGGUGUCAUGUAUGAGCCAGGCCGUCUAGGAGAGUUGUGUGUGGUGCCCUGUGGAUGGUGCAGGUGAGACGUCCAAAGACAGCAUCGCUCACACUGCUCAGGACGGAUGAGGUACUGAAGGAGGCCAGAUUGGAGGAGCCAGCCUGGGCAGGGCUGUGGCUGUUUCAGGGCAAGGUA
rnacentral:lncRNA from 10 species